AAACUUAAAGGAAUUGACGGGGGCCCGCACAAGCGGUGGAGCAUGUGGUUUAAUUCGAUGCAACGCGAAGAACCUUACCUACUCUUGACAUCCAGAGAACUUAGCAGAGAUGCUUUGGUGCCUUCGGGAACUCUGAGACAGGUGCUGCAUGGCUGUCGUCAGCUCGUGUUGUGAAAUGUUGGGUUAAGUCCCGCAACGAGCGCAACCCUUAUCCUUUGUUGCCAGCGAUUCGGUCGGGAACUCAAAGGAGACUGCCGGUGAUAAACCGGAGGAAGGUGGGGAUGACGUCAAGUCAUCAUGGCCCUUACGAGUAGGGCUACACACGUGCUACAAUGGCGUAUACAAAGAGAAGCAACCUCGCGAGAGCAAGCGGAACUCAUAAAGUACGUCGUAGUCCGGAUUGGAGUCUGCAACUCGACUCCAUGAAGUCGGAAUCGCUAGUAAUCGUAGAUCAGAAUGCUACGGUGAAUACGUUCCCGGGCCUUGUACACACCGCCCGU
rnacentral:rRNA from 1 species